rnacentral:rRNA from 1 species
GACUCUUGAAGUCUUAGUGGCGCAGCUAACGCACUAAGUAGACCGCCUGGGGAGUACGGCCGCAAGGUUAAAACUCAAAUGAAUUGACGGGGGCCCGCACAAGCGGUGGAGCAUGUGGUUUAAUUCGACGCAACGCGAAGAACCUUACCUGGCCUUGACAUGCAGAGAACUUUCCAGAGAUGGAUUGGUGCCUUCGGGAACUCUGACACAGGUGCUGCAUGGCCGUCGUCAGCUCGUGUCGUGAGAUGUUGGGUUAAGUCCCGUAACGAGCGCAACCCCUAUCCCUAGUUGCUAGCAGUUCGGCUGAGAACUCUAGGGAGACUGCCGGUGACAAACCGGAGGAAGGUGGGGAUGACGUCAGGUCAUCUNNNCCCUUACGGCCAGGGCUACACACGUGCUACAAUGGUGCGUACAGAGGGCUGCAAACCCGCGAGGGGGAGCUAAUCUCACAAAACGCAUCGUAGUCCGGAUCGGAGUCUGCAACUCGACUCCGUGAAGUCGGAAUCGCUAGUAAUCGCGAAUCAGAAUGUCGCGGUGAAUACGUUCCCGGGCCUUGUACACACCGCCCGUCACACCAUGGGAGUGGAUUGCACCAGAAGUGGUUAGUCUAACCUUCGGGAGGACGAU